ACGGGUGGGUAACGCGGGGGAAUCUACCCCUUUCUACGGAACAACUCCGGGAAACUGGAGCUAAUACCGUAUACGUCCUUUUGGAGAAAGAUUUAUCGGAGAUGGAUGAGCCCGCGUUGGAUUAGCUAGUUGGUGGGGUAAUGGCCUACCAAGGCGACGAUCCAUAGCUGGUCUGAGAGGAUGAUCAGCCACACUGGGACUGAGACACGGCCCAGACUCCUACGGGAGGCAGCAGUGGGGAAUAUUGGACAAUGGGCGCAAGCCUGAUCCAGCCAUGCCGCGUGAGUGAUGAAGGCCCUAGGGUUGUAAAGCUCUUUCAACGGUGAAGAUAAUGACGGUAACCGUAGAAGAAGCCCCGGCUAACUUCGUGCCAGCAGCCGCGGUAAUACGAAGGGGGCUAGCGUUGUUCGGAAUUACUGGGCGUAAAGCGCACGUAGGCGGAUACUUAAGUCAGGGGUGAAAUCCCGGGGCUCAACCCCGGAACUGCCUUUGAUACUGGGUAUCUCGAGUCCGGAAGAGGUGAGUGGAAUUCCGAGUGUAGAGGUGAAAUUCGUAGA
rnacentral:rRNA from 1 species